UACGUAGGGUGCAAGCGUUGUCCGGAAUUAUUGGGCGUAAAGAGCUUGUAGGCGGUUUGUCGCGUCUGCUGUGAAAUUUCGGGGCUCAACCCCGAACUUGCAGUGGGUACGGGCAGACUAGAGUGUGGUAGGGGAGACUGGAAUUCCUGGUGUAGCGGUGAAAUGCGCAGAUAUCAGGAGGAACACCGGUGGCGAAGGCGGGUCUCUGGGCCGAUACUGACGCUGAGGUACGAAAGCCAGGGGAGCAAACGGG
rnacentral:rRNA from 1 species